rnacentral:rRNA from 1 species
CCUACGGGUGGCAGCAGUGGGGAAUAUUGGGCAAUGGACGCAAGUCUGACCCAGCAACGCCGCGUGAGGGAAGAAGGCUUUCUGGUUGUAAACUUCUUUUAAUGGAGAAGAGCAGGAGACGGUACCCCUUUAAUCGCCCACGGCUAACUACGUGCCAGCAGCCGCGGUAAUACGGAGGUGGCAAGCGUGGUCCGGAUUUACUGGGUGUAAAGGGCGUGCAGCCGGAGAGAUAAGUCCGAUGUGAACUCCACGGGCUCAACCCGUGAACUGCAUUUGAAACUGUUUCCCUUGAGUGUCGGAGAGGUAAGCGGAAUUCCGUGUGUAGCGGUGAAAUGCGUAGAUAUAAGGAAGAACACCAGUGGCGAAGGCGGAUUACUGGACGAUAACUGACGGUGAGGCGCGAAAGCGUGGGGAGCAAACAGGAUUAGAUACCCCAGUAGUC